AUUGAACGCUGGCGGCAUGCUUUACACAUGCAAGUCGAACGGUAACAGGCCGCAAGGUGCUGACGAGUGGCGAACGGGUGAGUAAUGCAUCGGAACGUGCCCAGUCGUGGGGGAUAACGCAGCGAAAGCUGCGCUAAUACCGCCUACGAUCUAUGGAUGAAAGCGGGGGACCGUAAGGCCUCGCGCGAUUGGAGCGGGCGAUGUCAGAUUAGGUAGUUGGUGGGGUAAAGGCUCACCAAGCCAACGAUCUGUAGCUGGUCUGAGAGGACGCCCAGCCACACUGGGACUGAGACACGGCCCAGACUCCUACGGGAGGCAGCAGUGGGGAAUUUUGGACAAUGGGCGCAAGCCUGAUCCAGCAAUGCCGCGUGCAGGAAGAAGGCCUUCGGGUUGUAAACUGCUUUUGUACGGAACGAAACGGUCCUGGUUAAUACCUGGGGCUAAUGACGGUACCGUAAGAAUAAGCACCGGCUAACUACGUGCCAGCCGCCGCGGUAAUAC
rnacentral:rRNA from 1 species